rnacentral:rRNA from 1 species
GGGUUGUGAGGUUAAGCGACUAAGCGUACACGGUGGAUGCCCUGGCAGUCAGAGGCGAUGAAGGGCGUGCUAAUCUGCGAUAAGCGCCGGUAAGGUGAUAUGAACCGUUAUAACCGGCGAUACCCGAAUGGGGAAACCCAGUGUGACUCGUCACACUAUCAUUAACUGAAUCCAUAGGUUAAUGAGGCGAACCGGGGGAACUGAAACAUCUAAGUACCCCGAGGAAAAGAAAUCAACCGAGAUUCCCCCAGUAGCGGCGAGCGAACGGGGAGGAGCCCAGAGCCUGAAUCAGCAUGUGUGUUAGUGGAAGCGUCUGGAAAGGCGCGCGAUACAGGGUGACAGCCCCGUACACAAAAGCGCAUGUGCUGUGAGCUCGAUGAGUAGGGCGGGACACGUGGUAUCCUGUCUGAAUAUGGGGGGACCAUCCUCCAAGGCUAAAUACUCCUGACUGACCGAUAGUGAACCAGUACCGUGAGGGAAAGGCGAAAAGAACCCCGGCGAGGGGAGUGAAAAAGAACCUGAAACCGUGUACGUACAAGCAGUGGGAGCACCGGUUUACCUGUGUGACUGCGUACCUUUUGUAUAAUGGGUCAGCGACUUAUAUUCUGUAGCAAGGUUAACCGAAUAGGGGAGCCGGAGGGAAACCGAGUCUUAAUUGGGCGUUAAGUUGCAGGGUAUAGACCCGAAACCCGGUGAUCUAGCCAUGGGCAGGUUGAAGGUUGGGUAACACUAACUGGAGGACCGAACCGACUAAUGUUGAAAAAUUAGCGGAUGACCUGUGGCUGGGGGUGAAAGGCCAAUCAAACCGGGAGAUAGCUGGUUCUCCCCGAAAGCUAUUUAGGUAGCGCCUCGUGAAUUCAUCUCCGGGGGUAGAGCACUGUUUCGGCUAGGGGGCCAUCCCGGCUUACCAACCCGAUGCAAACUGCGAAUACCGGAGAAUGUUAUCACGGGAGACACACGGCGGGUGCUAACGUCCGUCGUGAAGAGGGAAACAACCCAGACCGCCAGCUAAGGUCCCAAAGUCAUGGUUAAGUGGGAAACGAUGUGGGAAGGCCCAGACAGCCAGGAUGUUGGCUUAGAAGCAGCCAUCAUUUAAAGAAAGCGUAAUAGCUCACUGGUCGAGUCGGCCUGCGCGGAAGAUGUAACGGGGCUAAACCAUGCACCGAAGCUGCGGCAGCGACACUGUGUGUUGUUGGGUAGGGGAGCGUUCUGUAAGCCUGCGAAGGUGGCCUGUGAGGGUUGCUGGAGGUAUCAGAAGUGCGAAUGCUGACAUAAGUAACGAUAAAGCGGGUGAAAAGCCCGCUCGCCGGAAGACCAAGGGUUCCUGUCCAACGUUAAUCGGGGCAGGGUGAGUCGACCCCUAAGGCGAGGCCGAAAGGCGUAGUCGAUGGGAAACGGGUUAAUAUUCCCGUACUUGGUGUUACUGCGAAGGGGGGACGGAGAAGGCUAUGUUGGCCGGGCGACGGUUGUCCCGGUUUAAGCGUGUAGGUGUGUGUUCCAGGUAAAUCCGGUUCACUUUAACACUGAGGCGUGACGACGAGGCACUACGGUGCUGAAGCAACAAAUGCCCUGCUUCCAGGAAAAGCCUCUAAGCAUCAGGUAACAUCAAAUCGUACCCCAAACCGACACAGGUGGUCAGGUAGAGAAUACCAAGGCGCUUGAGAGAACUCGGGUGAAGGAACUAGGCAAAAUGGUGCCGUAACUUCGGGAGAAGGCACGCUGACACGUAGGUGAAGUGAUUUACUCAUGGAGCUGAAGUCAGUCGAAGAUACCAGCUGGCUGCAACUGUUUAUUAAAAACACAGCACUGUGCAAACACGAAAGUGGACGUAUACGGUGUGACGCCUGCCCGGUGCCGGAAGGUUAAUUGAUGGGGUCAGCGCAAGCGAAGCUCCUGAUCGAAGCCCCGGUAAACGGCGGCCGUAACUAUAACGGUCCUAAGGUAGCGAAAUUCCUUGUCGGGUAAGUUCCGACCUGCACGAAUGGCGUAAUGAUGGCCAGGCUGUCUCCACCCGAGACUCAGUGAAAUUUGAACUCGCUGUGAAGAUGCAGUGUACCCGCGGCAAGACGGAAAGACCCCGUGAACCUUUACUAUAGCUUGACACUGAACAUUGAGCCUUGAUGUGUAGGAUAGGUGGGAGGCUUUGAAGUGUGGACGCCAGUCUGCAUGGAGCCGACCUUGAAAUACCACCCUUUAAUGUUUGAUGUUCUAACGUGGACCCGUUACCCGGGUUGCGGACAGUGUCUGGUGGGUAGUUUGACUGGGGCGGUCUCCUCCUAAAGAGUAACGGAGGAGCACGAAGGUUGGCUAAUCCUGGUCGGACAUCAGGAGGUUAGUGCAAUGGCAUAAGCCAGCUUGACUGCGAGCGUGACGGCGCGAGCAGGUGCGAAAGCAGGUCAUAGUGAUCCGGUGGUUCUGAAUGGAAGGGCCAUCGCUCAACGGAUAAAAGGUACUCCGGGGAUAACAGGCUGAUACCGCCCAAGAGUUCAUAUCGACGGCGGUGUUUGGCACCUCGAUGUCGGCUCAUCACAUCCUGGGGCUGAAGUAGGUCCCAAGGGUAUGGCUGUUCGCCAUUUAAAGUGGUACGCGAGCUGGGUUUAGAACGUCGUGAGACAGUUCGGUCCCUAUCUGCCGUGGGCGCUGGAGAACUGAGGGGGGCUGCUCCUAGUACGAGAGGACCGGAGUGGACGCAUCACUGGUGUUCGGGUUGUCAUGCCAAUGGCACUGCCCGGUAGCUAAAUGCGGAAGAGAUAAGUGCUGAAAGCAUCUAAGCACGAAACUUGCCCCGAGAUGAGUUCUCCCUGAGACUUAAAGUCUCCUGAAGGAACGUUGAAGACGACGACGUUGAUAGGCCGGGUGUGUAAGCGCAGCGAUGCGUUGAGCUAACCGGUACUAAUGAACCGUGAGGCUUAACCUUACAACGCCGAAG